ensembl:lncRNA
UGUGGUAAUGUAGAGUUGUGUGUAGUUGUGUGUUAAUGUAGAGUGAGAUUCGGUCCUGGCAGCAUCAUGAGGAAGUGUGUGUGUGUGUGUGAGAGUGUGUGUGAGUGUGUGUGUGUGUUUGCUUCUCAUCCUUUGUCAGGAAACGGUACGACUUCUCCUCGCGGCUCCUGAACGUAACCGCUGACACAAACAGGGACAACAGACCUCACGGAGACGAAGGCUUCCAGUCGGUUCUGUGGUGAGAUGAACGUCCCUCAUGGCGCUUAUUGUCCCAGAGAUCAGCGUUCUCACCGCCGCACCUCGUCCACGAGGAGUCCUGUCUGAGCCCGCCUCUCCCGGUUGCCAAGCAACGGCACGGAAACGAACUUUCACUGAUGUCAAAGUAGCGUGACCCCGAGGGUCCGCUUGUCACGCUGAGACAAACACAUGGUGGAGCUCCACCAGCAGCUCGGAACCCUCGAUGAACUUCAGGAAAACGCUUGUCUUCAUUCUGUGGACAGACGAUAUUCACCAGGGACGUCAGAGAAUAUCUUGUUCGUCGACUCCCAUUCUGAACUUUUUGGAGAGGAGCAGUCACUAAAGUUCUUUUUCUGCACAGCUAAUAAAAAUAAAAAACAUUUAGGGUUUGGGAAUAAACUUCUGGUCUAUGGCAGCGUUUUGCUCCAAACCGCAUCAACAAACCAUUAUGGACGUCUUGCAGCUUUCGCUCAGACCUCUGACUCGUCUCUCCUUCACAGCUACGACGGCUCUGGCACACGCGCAUCGCUGUAUUUACAGCCACUUACCAUCUCCAACUGACGUUAGAACAUGAUUUCUCUGAAACAAAAUUGAAAUGAUUAAAAGCACAACAUCAACCUAUGCUCCUGGAGCCGCCCCCCCCCCCCCCCCCCUCCAUUACAUCACUGCCCAAAGAAAACAAACCAAAACACCAAAUGACGGGUCUCUCUUACUCUCUGAGGGUCGUAAAACGGCCAAUUAUACAUGUGAUCAGGUAUGUGGAGCAAACGGCACGGUGGGAAUGUUGUGCGUCCACACACAUACACACAAACAGCAGUGUAACAGCUGAGCACUUUUCGGCCCACAGACCUGCACAGGUACCCACGACAGCUCCCCCCC